AGUAAAGGCUGGGAAUGUUUCAGAGAUAUACAUAUGUAUCUCCGAAACAUUCCCAGCCUUUACU
ensembl:miRNA